rnacentral:tRNA from 1 species
UACGGGUGUAGUUCAAGGGUAGAAUAGCGGUCUCCAAAACCGUUGAUGGGGGUUCGAAUCCCUCCACCCGUGCAAU